ACCUCCACCAAAGCACUUGGAGACCCCUCCAACCCAUUACAAGUCCCCCCCACCACCGAAGUAUGUAAAACAUCCACCACCUCCAUCACCAUCACCCCCGCCACCCUAUUAUAAGUCUCCACCACCGCCUUCUCAUUCGCCGCCUCCUCCUUAUGUGCACAAAUCUCCUCCACCACCCACUCACUCACCACCUCCACCAUAUGCUUACAAGUCACCACCUCCCCCUUCUAAAUCACCACCUCCUCCUUAUGUCCACAAAUCUCCUCCUUAUGUCCACAAGUCACCACCUCCACCAUCAUAUUCUCCUCCACCUCCUUACCACUACAAGUCACCACCACCACCAUCUCCAUCACCUCCCCCUCCAUACCACUACAACUCUCCUCCUCCUCCAGUGAAGUCACCUCCACCUCCCCAAUAUCACUACAAAUCACCUCCACCUCCAAAACACUACUAAGCUUUAUGGGAUUUUAGCGACUUGAACCAGUCCAAAUAAGGUCUUCGUUUCGAUGUUCCAGCGGUAUCACUUCUUUUUCUAGCUUUGUUCUAUUCGCAGACAAGUGUGUUUGUGAAUAAUAAAGGUC
rnacentral:lncRNA from 1 species